rnacentral:rRNA from 1 species
CCCUUAGAUGUUCGGGGCCGCACGCGCGCUACACUGAAGGUAGCAGAGGGUGUGAUCGCUCCCGCCCCGAAGCGGGGCGGGUAAACCGUUGAACUACCUUCGUGGCUUGGGACCGGGGCUUGGAACUGUUGCCCGCGAACGAGGAAUUCCCAGUAAGCGCGAGUCAUAAGCUGGCGUUGAUUACGUCCCUGCCCUUUGUACACACCGCCCGUCGCUACUACCGAUUGAAUGAUUUAGUGAGGACUUCGGACUGGGACCGAUGCGGCUUUCGGGCUGCGUCGGUAUUCUGGAAAGAUGUCCAAACUGUAUCAUUUAGAGGAAGUAAAAGUCGUAACA